rnacentral:lncRNA from 10 species
AAAAUCUACGACCUGGGAAAGGAAAGAGCCAGUUGAGGAAAAGCCCUUUGUCCCUUCUUUGUUUAUAUCUCCAACUUCCCGAUUUUUCCUGUGGCUGUGAUGGCCAGGAUGUGGCAGCCCUCUGGUUAUAACAGUGUCACAAAUCCUUCAUUGAGGCUGCCUUGCAACCCAAGCUCUGCCUCUCUCCAAUCCUCUCUUUCCCUCCCUUCAUAGGUGCAGAUGCUGAGAGCACUUUCUAGUCAAGUCCUGCAUGUUCAUUUCUGUCUCAAGUCAGCUUCUCUGAGAAUCCAAUUUAUAAAAAUAUAUUUGUGAAUGUAUAAGUAAAGUGACUUGGAUUUUGUCUACGUACAAGGACUUCUAUGCCUGCAUAAAACAGGAAAGAGAUCUUCAUGUAAACAGAGUCCCUCUUAUUGGCUGAAGUGAAGAGUCAUUCUGAGGAGGAUCUGAAAAUGUAGAGGUGAGACGCUAAUGGCAGAGUGGCCUCAGCUUUCACCAGGUUUUGAAAACAUCUGUGAGGGAGGCACCAAAUUCACUGUCCUGCAGCUUUGACUUCCCAAUCCUCGUUGCCUCGUGCUGCCAGCCUGUAUGCUGGUAGAAGUGUGUUCCUGGGAACAUCCUGGCAUCUUGUGUUAGGACUACACUGGUGCAUGGGACAGAUCACGCUCAAGAAGGUCGAUGUAAUUUGAAAAACAGAUGGGCUCUGCUUUGUGAAAACUCCAAGCAUAUGAAGUCUAACUUGAAUAAAAGGCAUCUCAAGAUGAAGGUUUCCUAUUUGUGAUUAUGAAAAAAAUGUCAAGAACAAGUCCCUUGGUGUUCUUAGACCAAAGUCAGAACAACAGACCUAAUUCUUUGGUAAUUUUCCUGUGGCAUAUCUUCAAGGAACUCAAAGAGACUCUGUGGAUGAACUCGUUCUUGAGAAAUAGUGGAAAUUUUGGGUCUAUAUUCUAUGCCUUUAAAAUUAUUUUUUUGCAUCACCGUGAGCCAAGAUCAUCUCCUCAUCCCAAGAUCCUUAACUAAAUCAUAUCUGCAAAGACCUUUUUUUCCACCUGAGGUAAUAUUUACAGGUUCCAGACCUAGUAUCUUUGAGGGUCUUUAUUCAGUUUCAUAAGGGCCCUUUUUGCUCCUUCUGAUUGUAGACCCUGAGGCUGGAAUGUUAUUAUGCGCCAAAAGUCAUGACGUUGUCCUCAUCCAUCUGAUCCAGCUUUGCUCGGCUUUCUCACGUUCUCCACCCUUUCUCCUUUUUCCCCGCCAUUUUGCUUCCUUUUCCCACCCAUUCAAUCUUUCCAAGCACUUACCUCUUUUCCUUUUUCUUUUCCACUCCCCCUUUCUCUCCUCCUUCCUUCACCACCUUCUUCUUUCCCCUCACUUUUACCUUCUUUCCCUUCCUUCUUUCCUUUCUGCAUUCUUUUCCCCUCUACUCCUCCUCAUCUCCUUGGUGCCUCCCCUCCACCUUCUCAUUCCCCCUUUCCCAUCCUUCUUCCACUUCCCUUACAUCAUAUUCUCCUUCUCACAGGUUUUCUCUGCCUAAUAUCUCUACAGCUCCAAUCAAAUAUUCUCACCUUGAACCACAUCAGGAAUUCUUCAUCAUUUCUGGUUUGCUGAAUUUAUUUUUUGUUCUUGCUUUCUAGGAUCUUGAUUCAUUUAAUUGUAAAAAAGAAAAAUCAAUUUCUGAAGUUACAUUAAGUUUUUGCAGGUUGGCUGGACACGGUGGCUCACACCCAUAAUCCCAGCAUUUUGGGAGGCCGAGGUGGGCAGAUCACUUGAUGUCAGGAGUUCCAGACCAGCCCGGCCAACAUGGUGAAACCCCCUCUCUACAAAAAUUACAAAAAUUAGCCAGGGGUGGUGGUGCCUGCCUGUAGACCCAGCCACUUGGGAGGCUGAAGCAGGAGAAUCACUUGAACCCAGGAGGCAGAGGUUGCAGCAAGCCAAGAUCAUGCCACUGCACUCCAGCCUGGGCGACAGAGUGAGACUCCAUAUCAAAAAAAAAAAAGUUUUUGGAGUAAGGAAUAAUAUUCUUUACAAUUUUAAUACCUGGAAAUGCCUUUUUAUUUACGAUAUUUCUUUAGACUGUGAACCUCUCAUAGGAAAGACUCUUCCAUAUUUGUUUUUAUUUACUUAAUGCCCAGCACAUGGUGUUACUCUUACAUGUUUCUGAAAUGCAUGUCAUUGUGGAUUUUGUGUAAUGAAAUGCAUAUGGUUAUUUUAACUGAUCACUCAAGUUGAUUAGACUGCCACAUCCCACGCAAAAAGAGGGUGCUCAGAAAGCCAGUGAUUGGAUAAUAAUUUGAGAAUACUCAAGUUUCUAGUAGUCCUAAUCGGUUGAACCUAAAAAUGCCAUUAACCCUUUCUCAAAGAAGCAGAUUGGAGGUGAGUAGCAGUUGUGUGGCUUUUUGGUAUGCAGCUGUUCACUUUCAAAACUUAAUUUAAAACAAUAAAAAAUAGACCUCGAAAUCAUUUUGUUUCCCUAUUUAUUUAAUGUGAUUUAUUCUAAAUGUGUUUCAUAUCACCAUAAUGUAUCGGAGCUCAACCACCACCUGUUAUUUUGUAGGGGAAAUAAACAAGACCUCUCUCAUCAGAUGAGUUAAUUACACUGACAUAUUCACUCCUCCCCAGAGAUACCAUAAACUAAAAUGCUGCAAAGCUUUAAUUCAAACAAGCAGGCUGGAAACAAGAGCUAUUGCAGUGGUAUAAUUUUCUUUGGGAGAAUCAAAAGCUCAACACAGACUUGAACUUCAGGGGCAAAAUAGCUGGAGUUGAUCAAAUGGAGGCUUGUCUAGGGUCGCAUAAUAAAUCUGUAGGUAUUUGUCUGGGGCUGGCUGUGCACCCAGAAGGCCAUUCGUUCCAUGAAGAACAUGACAGAGGUACCUGGUCCUACCUGGAUUCUUGGGCAUGCGGGCAGCAGCAGCAGCAGCAGCCACAGUGAACUUCAUCCUAAGGAAAUUAAGCACACGUUGCGUGAGGCUGCUGUGGGGGUGCCAGGUGCUGAGGUUUCUGUAGUGGAUAAAACACAAAAAUACCAGCCCUCAUGGUGAAAAUGGAAUGACAAUAAACAAGAUAAAUUAGAUCUAUGCAACAAAACCAAGCCUUUGUGCACAUCUGUGGUUGUGACCAGUUGGAGAGACAUUAGGAGAUGAGAUACUAUGUUCACUCCUCACAGCUGUACCAGGGACCUGAGAUAUUCCGUCACUAUUCUAUGAGAUUUUGGAGAUCCCACCAGUGGUUUUCCGGUGCCAGGGUAUGAGAAGAUAGUCUCCAUGUCCAAACUCACAAUUUCAGAACAAAUUUCAUCAAGAUAAAGGCCUGGGCUGGUGAAUGGUUCCUGCUUUCACUAUUCCAGAUGUCCAGCUCUGUACCUUGCUGCUCUCCUUAAAGCCUGCCUCCCUCUAGAUGGUCUGGCUUGAUGAUAUCCAACCUGACGUGGCCUGAAGAGACAGACAGUGGCUCUUGCUAGCUAAUUAUUGUCAGAUGGAUCGGCAGCCGACCAACGCUUCUGAAACUAUUGUUUUUGGCAAAUGUUCCUCAACAUUUUCCUGGGAGCUAUGGUGCAUUACUCACGAGUGACAGAACCAACGAGCUUCAUCUCCCAAGAGGCUGGUGCAUCUGUUUAAAGGAGCAGGCACUAGGCAGAGCAGCCCCCACCCCACCCUCCAUGGCAGAGUGCAGUGGGGGAAGAAGUUUUCAUAGAAAUGCUUUCUAUAAAGCAUUUUCAUAGAGAAAGCAGGUUCAUAUAGAAAGCACUGGCUGCUGGUUGGAGUGGAGAGAUUGAAGACCCUCAUCUAGGAUCAAGCAACCCCCAGAAAACAAUUUUAAACAUGUCCAUUCAGACAAAAGGAGUCCAAAACCAUAAGAUCCUCUCAGCAUCCUGAACUAAUGUCCAGCUGUUAUCUCGGGAUGGGAUUUCACCAUGUUGUCCAAGCUGGUUUUGAACUCCUGGGGUCAAGAAAUCCACCUGCUUCGGCCUCCCACAGUGCUGGGAUUACAGGUGUGAGCCCCUGCACCCAGCCUAAUUAAGUUUUGAAUAUCUUAUCCCUAUCAAUGACUUGUCUUUUCAUUCCUCUAACGUUCUUAAUUUUGAUCAAGUCCAAUUUAUCUUUUCUCUCCUUUAUAGAUUGUGCUUUUGGUGUUACAUCUAAGAAAUCUUUGCUUUUGAUUAUUUUAAAAAUUGAUUUUCUCAUCAAGUAAAAGAAAAUGUACUUUCAAGUUCCUUUAAGUAUAUCCACGUUGCCUAGGCAACCAAGUUAUUUAUCAAUAGGUGAUCAUUUGUAAUGAUUUGUUAAUAAAGG